CGACUGAGUGGCUGAACUGAACUGAACUGUGGCUUGAAAGAUCUUAGUUCCCCGACCAAGGAAUGAACCUGGGCCUCUUGCAGUGAAAGCCUAAGUCCUAACCACUGGACAACCCAGGGAAGUCUUUAACAUGUGCUUCUUAUGCUAGAGUCUCCUUAAGUUAUCUUCCUCAAUUCAAAAGCUUCCAAUUAGAAGUGUCAUUCAGUUCAGUUCAGUUGCUCAGUCCUUAAGAUUUUCACUAAGUCUACAAGCCAGCUGUCAACUCCAAAACCCUUGUGUAGCUGAAGCUGACAGAGUGACUUCAACUCCCUUCAAAAAGUAAGUAAUGAUUGAUACCGUGUAUAAAAUAGAGAGCUAAUGAGAACCUACUGUGUAGUUCAGGGAACUCUACUCAUGCAUCAGUAGUGACUUAAAUGGGAAGGCAAUCCAAAAAAGGGGAUCGAACAUAGAGCUGAUUCACUUUGCUGUACAGCAGAAACUAACACAACAUUGUAAAGCAACUACACUCCAGUAAAAAUUAAUAAUAAAAAACUUCCUGAAACCAAAAACAAAAAACUAAGGGGAAAACAAAUCGUUGAAUGUUAACAUGUUAAGUGCAAAUGAGCCCAUUGGAAGAAUACUUCAUCUUUGUACUUGUAAUUUGUCAAGUUGGUGUUAUUCAACUUGUUGCAAAUAGAAAUGCUUUUAUGCUUUGAUGGAAGUGUUAUUUGUGAUUCUUUAUUGUUACUGCUCUUAUUUUAAAAUAAUAUUUGGCAAACAGUCACUUCGUUUCAAAUUAAAGUCCAUUUGCCCACUUCCUACUCCAGGGAAUCUUCCCAACCCAGGAAUUGAACCGGAGUCGCCUGCAUCUCCUGCUUUGGCAGGCAGGUUCUUUACCACUAGCACCACCUGGGAAGCCCUUGUUCAUGUAUGUAUGGGAUUUUAAAACAUAAUACUGUUCUAAAGUUUCCUUUAAAAGUCUUAAAAGUAAAAAAUAUGGAUUUCCCAUAGCCUUUAAAUAUCUGCAUAUGUUUAAUUAUCUGACUAUUCCAUAAUUUAUUAUAGAUGAAUAGUUAGAUUGUUUUCUUUAAUUAUGAUAAUUGCCACAGUAAGUGUCCUCACAUAUGUAUCUCUGUUCACUUAUGUAAGUAAAUCUAGAGAAUAACGUCCUAGAAGUGGAAUGAUUGGCACAAAGAUUUGUGUUUUGUAUUUUAAUAGACCCUGCCAAGUUAGCCUUCAAAAGGAAGGCUGCAAUUUAUGGUUCUGACCUCAUUUUCAUUUCCUGAUUACUUUUAUAACCACUAUUUGUGAUUCUUUUAUAACAGAGAAUUAAAUAGAACCAAUAAAUCUGAGAAAUGCACAAUGUUGUAUUUAUCAAGAAUUUAGGGAAUUCCUGGCAGUCCAGUGGUUAGGACUCUGCAUUUCCACUGCUGGGACCCCAUUUCAAUCCCUGGUGGGGGAACUGAGAUCCCACAAGCCACGUGGUGUGGCCAAAAAAGAAAAAAAAAAGAAUUUAGAAGUGUCUCCUACCAGUUUUGUUAUUCCAAACUACAAUUUUGUUAAAAGAACUGUUUACUAGCAGUUGUAAUCGUAGUGCUGAAAGUUUAUAUAAGCAUACAAAAUAUGUCUUGUCAGUGACCUGUUUAUGAGGAUUAUUUAAACAAGAAACAUUAAUAAAAAACUUUAAAACAUCACAAGUUGAAACAAAACCCCAGAAGACUCUUGUAAAACGCAAGUUGAAAUGGGUUUACCACGCUUGUCAGGAAAUUCCCGGUUCCAGUGAACGAUGACCCUCCUGUCCACCAGAGGUCACUCUUUGGAAAUGAGUUUGCCCCAGGCAGUUGGCCGCCUUUAAAAAAAAAAAAAUAGCAUUAUUGUUCCAGUGGCUCUUUGGUCAAGUCUUGGGAAGGUCGCGCUGUUCUUACGAGCUGAGCUGAGUUUGUGCUGCACAAUUGUCCCGUAUCUAGGUUUCAUCCUGAUGUUGUAACUCAAAACAGACCAUUUUACUUGUGGUGCCUGGGAUCUUCUAUCUUCCUUGAAGCAUGUGGCAUCUAGUUCCCAGGCCAGGGAUUGAGCCCAGGCCCCCUGCAUUAGAAGCAUGGAGUCUUAGCCACUGGACCAGGAGAUCCUACCAGAAGAGUCAAUGGAAAAGUUUGUGAAU